UAAUACGUAGGGUGCGAGCGUUAAUCGGAAUUACUGGGCGUAAAGCGUGCGCAGGCGGUUUUGUAAGUCAGAUGUGAAAUCCCCGGGCUUAACCUGGGAACUGCGUUUGAAACUACAAGGCUAGAGUGUGGCAGAGGGGGGUGGAAUUCCACGUGUAGCAGUGAAAUGCGUAGAGAUGUGGAGGAACACCGAUGGCGAAGGCAGCCCCCUGGGUUAACACUGACGCUCAGGCACGAAAGCGUGGGGAGCAAACAGGAUUAGAUACCCUGGUAGUCC
rnacentral:rRNA from 1 species